GUGGGGAAUAUUGGACAAUGGGCGCAAGCCUGAUCCAGCAAUGCCGCGUGUGUGAAGAAGGUCUUAGGAUUGUAAAGCACUUUCGACGGGGACGAUGAUGACGGUACCCGUAGAAGAAGCCCCGGCUAACUUCGUGCCAGCAGCCGCGGUAAUACGAAGGGGGCUAGCGUUGCUCGGAAUGACUGGGCGUAAAGGGCGUGUAGGCGGCAUACCAAGUUAGAUGUGAAAUUCCCGGGCUCAACCUGGGGGCUGCAUUUGAUACUGGUAAGCUAGAGUUCGGAAGAGGGUAGUGGAAUUUCCAGUGUAGAGGUGAAAUUCGUAGAUAUUGGAAAGAACACCGGUGGCGAAGGCGGCUACCUGGUCCGAUACUGACGCUGAGGCGCGAAAGCGUGGGGAGCAAACAGG
rnacentral:rRNA from 1 species